rnacentral:lncRNA from 1 species
UAGGGGGUGAUGAGGUUAAUUUUAGGCACAUGGAAGCAGGACGCUUGCAGGUCUUUAGGAAGGUUCCCUUUGCAGUGAUAAUCAUCAGACAAACUUGACCAUUUAUUGCUUAUUUGUUAUGGGAUGUUAAGUGGAGCCAAUGCAUAUAAAUUGACCAGAGAGAUUGAAAACAGGAUGGGAGCAGGAUCACACCCAUGAAGACCGAUGCUCAGGGUUUCCCUCCGUGGCAUGUAAGAAUUCCCUGUUGGUGAGAGGAAGCUUCUUUCCGCGUUGCCCCAUCAAUGAGUACCCAGGCUCCUUCUCCCAUGCAUCUCACCCCCGAGGUCUGGAGUUCACGCACCCGCCCAGGAGGCCCGAUCUGGGGCUCUGCAGGCUAGCACAGGACAGCACCGGUGGCCGUCGUGGGUCCUCAGGCGCCCGUCCCAAAGCAAGGCCACUUGUGCUGAUCCCACGUUUCCUUCCUGCCAGACUGAAGCGUAAGAAGUUCCUGCCUGCUUCCUUGUGUUCCAGUCCCAGCUCCACCCAUUCCUUGAGCCUGCAGAGUGACUCGCCGCCAGUCAGCCCGGAGCGCUCUGCUCUCCGCCACCCGCCGCGAGGAGAGAGGUCCCGAGGAAAGAGGGAAGUUUCAUCAGUCCUUGAAGAAGACGAUGUCAAGGCUGAAGCCUUAAAUUCUGGGGAGAUAAUGUGAUGUGUGUGGCGGUGAAGUCUACCAGAGGUUGAGUCUCUAGAGUGUUAAAUAUUUUCAUAAAAAAAACAAAAAAAGAAAUACCAAUGGAAAGUCUGGGCCAUUUCCUUGUUCUCUAUGCCAGGG